rnacentral:misc_RNA from 1 species
GAUGAAGAACGUAGCGAAAUGCGAUAAGUAAUGUGAAUUGCAGAAUUCAGUGAAUCAUCGAAUCUUUGAACGCACAUUGCGCCCCCCAGUAUUCUGGCGGGCAUGCCUGUUCGAGCGUCAUUUCAACCAUCAAGCCCUGCUUGUGUUGGGGUCCUGCGGCUGUCCGCAGGCCCUGAAAACCAGUGGCGGGCUCGCUAGUCACACCGAGCGCAGUAGCACAUCUCGCUCAGGGCGUGCGGCGGGCUCCAGCCGUUAAAGCACCCACCUUUCGCAAGGUUGACCUCGGAUCAGGUAGGAAUACCCGCUGAACUUAAGCAUAUCAAUAAGCGGAGGA